CCUACGGGAGGCAGCAGUGGGGAAUAUUGCUCAAUGGGGGAAACCCUGACGCAGCAACGCCGCGUGGGGGAUGAAGUUUUUCGGAUUGUAAAGUCCUUUUAGUAGAGAAGAUAAUGACGGUAUCUAACGAAUAAGCCCCGGCUAACUCCGUGCCAGCAGCCGCGGUAAUACGGAGGGGGCAAGCGUUACUCGGAAUCACUGGGCGUAAAGGGCGCGUAGGCGGGACAGCAAGUCAGAGGUGAAAUCCUAUGGCUUAACCAUAGAACUGCAUUUGAAACUGUUCUUCUAGAGUAAGGGAGAGGUAGGUGGAAUUCUUGAUGUACGGGUAAAUCCGUAGAGAUCAAGAGGAAUACUCAUUGCGAAGGCGACCUGCUAGAACAUAACUGACGCUGAUGCGCGAAAGCGUGGGGAGCAAACAGGAUUAGAUACCCUAGUAGUC
rnacentral:rRNA from 1 species